rnacentral:rRNA from 1 species
GUAUAGAACCUACCUUUUACUGGAGAAUAGCCCAGAGAAAUUUGGAUUAAUGCUCCAUAGUAUCAUUUUUUGGCAUCAUUAGGUGAUUAAAGAUUUAUCGGUAAAAGAUGGCUAUGCGUUCUAUUAGCUAGUUGGUAUGGUAACGGCAUACCAAGGCGACGAUAGAUAGGGGUCCUGAGAGGGAGAUCCCCCACACUGGUACUGAGACACGGACCAGACUCCUACGGGAGGCAGCAGUGAGGAAUAUUGGACAAUGGAGGCAACUCUGAUCCAGCCAUGCCGCGUGUAGGAAGACUGCCCUAUGGUUGUAAACUACUUUUAUAGAGGAAGAAACCGCUCUACGUGUAGAGCUCUGACGGUACUCUACGAAUAAGGAUCGGCUAACUCCGUGCCAGCAGCCGCGGUAAUACGGAGGAUCCAAGCGUUAUCCGGAAUCAUUGGGU